GAGUUUGAUCCUGGCUCAGAUUGAACGCUGGCGGCAUGCCUUACACAUGCAAGUCGAACGGCAGCACGGGAGCUUGCUCCUGGUGGCGAGUGGCGAACGGGUGAGUAAUGCAUCGGAACGUACCCUGGAGUGGGGGAUAACGUAGCGAAAGUUACGCUAAUACCGCAUAUUCUGUGAGCAGGAAAGCGGGGGACCUUUCGGGCCUCGCGCUCUUGGAGCGGCCGAUGUCGGAUUAGCUAGUUGGUGAGGUAAAGGCUCACCAAGGCGACGAUCCGUAGCAGGUCUGAGAGGAUGAUCUGCCACACUGGAGCUGAGACACGGUCCAGACUCCUACGGGAGGCAGCAGUGGGAUAUUGGACAAUGGCGAAAGCCUGAUCCAGCCAUGCCGCGUGUGUGAAGAAGGUCUUCGGAUUGUAAAGCACUUUAAGUUGGGAGGAAGGGCAGUAAGUUAAUACCUUGCUGUUUGACGUUACCGACAGAAUAAGCACCGGCUAACUCUGUG
rnacentral:rRNA from 1 species